rnacentral:lncRNA from 1 species
ACUACCGGAAACAGUAAAUUCGCCGAGUGUAAAAAUUUUGCCGAGUGCUUUCCUUCGAGCACUCGGCAAACAACCUUUUUGGCAAGUGUAUUAAACGCGACACUCAGCAAACAUAUUACACUCGGCAAUAAGGUCGUUUGCCGAGUGCCGUAAAUUCGACACUCGGCAAACCUCUCAGUGACACUCGGCAAAAGUCCGACACUCGGCAAACCUCUCAGUGACACUCGGCAAAAGUCCGACACUCGGUAAAUCAACGGCGCAUGCAUCGCACGUGCGCCGUCCGUCACCGGACUGGGGCGGCCGUUAGUCCUUUGCCGAGUGUUGGACUCCGACACUCGGCAAAGAGGCCCU